ensembl:snoRNA LOC120102715 small nucleolar RNA SNORA17
CCUGACUUAUAGAGUCAUUGCAGGUGUCAGUGCUGUUUCACAUGUGUGUCAGUAGGUGGCAGAAAAGAGAUACACUAUGUCUACCCAGUAUUUGAACGUGUAAAUAUCAGAACAACCAGUUUUCAUU